UACGUAGGGCGCAAGCGUUGUCCGGAAUUAUUGGGCGUAAAGAGCUCGUAGGCGGUUUGUCGCGUCUGCUGUGAAAUCCCGAGGCUCAACCUCGGGCUUGCAGUGGGUACGGGCAGACUAGAGUGUGGUAGGGGAGACUGGAAUUCCUGGUGUAGCGGUGGAAUGCGCAGAUAUCAGGAGGAACACCGAUGGCGAAAGCAGGUUUCUGGGCCAUCACUGACGCUGAGCUGCGAAAGCUAGGGGAGCAAACAGG
rnacentral:rRNA from 1 species